UUUUGUCAUCAGAAUCUUCCGCAUAACCUGAAAUGCCAGACUUCUCACUGCGUUGGAUGUUUAUGCUGGAUGCUGGCUUAGUGCAGGGAAAUUCUUGAGAUGCAAAUAUAUAAGGCAGCAUGGGGCAUUCCUUGUACAGGUAAUUUUUCACCAUUUCAUCAUUAGGGUUCGUUAAGUAACUUCUCACCAUAUCCUCGCUAAGCUCUGUAUUUGCUGUCUUGCCCACAUGAUUCUUAACCAACUCAACGCUAGGAGCCACGUUUAUCGACUUGAAUAGAUUUACAUUCAUUUGCAGCUCAUGCUGUUUUGGAAAGGUCCUAGGUAGUUCUUGAACAGAAGCGCUUUGAUCUUCCCAGAUACUCCUAGGACUGCUACAUUUUUGCUUAACUCGGCAUAGGACCCAAUCAUCC
rnacentral:lncRNA from 1 species